rnacentral:RNase_P_RNA from 1 species
AGUCGGACGAUCGCGUGAUAUUAUGCCGAAAGGUCGUAUCAUGAGGAAAGUCCGGGCUCCGCAGGGCAGGAUAACGGAUAACGUCCGCCGAAGGCGACUUCCGGGAAAGUGCAACAGAAAAGAACCGGAUGCUUAUGCAUCUAAGGGUGAAAAGGCGAGGUAAGAGCUCACCGGCAUUGUGGUAACACCGUGCAAGUGUAAACCCUAUCCGGAGCAACACCGUUUAUGGAAGCAGCGCGAGCUGAUGUCUGCCCGACAGAAUUCCAUGGGUGGCGAGGAUCGGCACGGCAACGUGACGGCAAGAUAGAUGAUCGUCGGCGCAUACGCGCUUACAGAACCCGGCUUAUAGACUCAG